UCUCAGGCCUCCAUCCUCCCUCUCGUA
rnacentral:piRNA from 1 species